rnacentral:rRNA from 1 species
CCUACGGGUGGCAGCAGUGGGGAAUAUUGGGCAAUGGGCGCAAGUCUGACCCAGCAACGCCGCGUGAUGGAAGAAGGCUCUCGGGUUGUAAACUUCUUUUAAGAGGGAAGAGCAGAAGACGGUACCUCUUGAAUAAGCCACGGCUAACUACGUGCCAGCAGCCGCGGGAAUACGUAGGUGGCAAGCGUUGUCCGGAUUUACUGGGUGUAAAGGGCGUGAAGCCGGGAAGACAAGCCAGAUGGGAAAUACCGCGGCGCAACCGCGGAACUGCAUUUAAAACUGUUUUUCUUGAGUACCGUAGAGGUCAUCGGAAUGCAUGGUGUAGCGGUGAAAUGCGUAGAUAUAAGAAAGAACACCGAUGGCGAAGGCAGAUGACUAAACGGCAACUGACGGUGAGGCACGAAAGCGUGGGGAGCAAACAGGAUUAGAUACCCGUGUAGUC